rnacentral:rRNA from 1 species
CAAUAGCGUAUAUUUAAGUUGUUGCAGUUAAAAAGCUCGUAGUUGGAUUUCGGGUGGGACGCAGCGGUCUCGCAUUGCGUUUGUACUGCUGCAGCCCUCCUUCUUGCCGGGGGCGGCCUCUCGGACUUCACUGUCUGGGGGUCAGAAUCGGCGAUGUUACUUUGAUUAAAUUAGAGUGUUCAAAGCAAGCUUACGCUCUGAAUAUAAUAGCAUGGGAUAACACGACAGGACUCUGGCCUAUCGUGUUGGUCUAUAGGACCAGAGUAAUGAUUAAGAGGGACAGUCGGGGGCAUUCGUAUUCCGUUGUCAGAGGUGAAAUUCUUGGAUUUACGGAAGACGAACAUCUGCGAAAGCAUUUGCCAAGGAUGUUUUCAUUGA